UGGGGAAUAUUGCACAAUGGGCGGAAGCCUGAUGCAGCGACGCCGCGUGAGGGAUGACGGCCUUCGGGUUGUAAACCUCUUUCGACAGGGACGAAGCGUGAGUGACGGUACCUGUGGAAGAAGCGCCGGCCAACUACGUGCCAGCAGCCGCGGUAAGACGUAGGGCGCGAGCGUUGUCCGGAUUUAUUGGGCGUAAAGAGCUCGUAGGCGGCUCGUUGCGUCGGCUGUGAAAACCCGCAGCUCAACUGUGGGCUUGCAGCUGAUACGGGCGGGCUGGAGUUCGGUAGGGGAGACUGGAAUUCCUGGUGUAGCGGUGAAAUGCGCAGAUAUCAGGAGGAACACCGGUGGCGAAGGCGGGUCUCUGGGCCGAUACUGACGCUGAGGAGCGAAAGCGUGGGGAGCGAACAGGAUUAGAUACCCUGGUAGUCCACGCUGUAAACGUUGGGCGCUAGGUGUGGGGGGCCUCUCCGGUUCUCUGUGCCGCAGCUAACGCAUUAAGCGCCCCGCCUGGGGAGUACGGCCGCAAGGCUAA
rnacentral:rRNA from 1 species